GGCACGGCGCGGGAGGACCGGGGCGCUGGAGCUGCCCGGGGCUGCGGCGUCGUGUCCUGGAGCGGGCGGUCCCCGGCCGGGCCGGCGAGGAGCGGGGCCGGCGGGAGCCGCGCUGCGGGCGACGGCUCCAGAGCCGGGAGGCUCCAGACCUCGCUCGGUGCCCGCGGGAGGAGGCCGGGAGCCUCCACGUUUGGUUCAAAGGAGCCCUGCAGGCCUGUGCUUUGUACCGGCAUUACUUGACUCUGUGACCAACAUGUAAUUUUCUGCACCAGAGACAAGAAGGAAACAGCAGUUGUUAAGAAAUAAGCUGUGCCUGUUGCAGCUGAUGUAACUGUGGGGGACCUGCCUGUGAGACAUACAGGUCUAACUCCAGCUGGAAUUGAAGGAUUACAAGAAUCAUCAACUGCACAGAAUAUAAAAGCUCAACAAGUUAGGUAACAAAUCAGUCAAGAAGAACUGGAGGACAGGUUCCUUCAUGCACAUGAUGAUCACAACCUACUCAAGAAGCAUGCAAAUGAGCAAGAGGAGAAAAUUAAAAGCAUUCCUUGCCAAAACCCUCUUAACUAGAAGUUUGGAAUGAAUUUGCAGUAGAAGAACAUUGAAAAAACUCCAUGUAAAUAAAAAACCUGAUACAGGCAAGUAACAUUCUGUGACAUCCUGAAGUUAUUAGGGAUUUUUUUUUGUUUCACUUUUGUUCUUUUAAGUAGAAGCUUCUGUCCACAAGUACACAAAAAAUAAAACAAGCCCCUUUAAACAAA